AAAUUCUAAAGCUAUUCCUUAUUCUAAAGCGUAUACCGCAUUCUUGUGAACUAUUAAAUUAAAAUUACUACUAUUACUAGAACCGUGUAAAAAGUGGAUUGCAUUCUUAAAGUGGAUUCAGAGCUCGAACUAUCAUCACUUAACCCUAAAUACCGUGGCACUUUAUAAUAAGUAUUUGCUUCCCAACGGCUGUUGUCCAGACCGACAUCGAAGACCAAACGAUCCGACCAUAGGGACUAAACGUAAGUCGACAAACUAUUGACUAGACUAAACAUACAGAUAUGUAUUAACACG
rnacentral:lncRNA from 1 species